rnacentral:rRNA from 1 species
AACGAACGCUGGCGGCGUGCCUAACACAUGCAAGUCGAACGGGAAAACCCGCAAGGGUGAGUACAGUGGCGCACGGGUGCGUAACACGUGGGUAAUCUGCCCAGAAGCCCGGAAUAACUCCCCGAAAGGGGUGCUAAUGCCGGAUGAGACUACGGGGACUUCGGUUCCUGGGGGAAAAGGUGGUCUCUGUAUACAAGCUAUCACUUCUGGAUGAGCCCGCGGCCCAUCAGCUAGUUGGCGGGGUAAUGGCCCACCAAGGCUACGACGGGUAGCUGGUCUGAGAGGACGAUCAGCCACACUGGAACUGAGACACGGUCCAGACUCCUACGGGAGGCAGCAGUGGGGAAUCUUGCGCAAUGGGCGAAAGCCUGACGCAGCAACGCCGCGUGUGUGAUGAAGGUCUUCGGAUCGUAAAGCACUGUCGGGAGGGACGAAUAAGGGCCGGGUGAACAAUCCGGUUCGACGACGGUACCUCCAGAGGAAGCACCGGCUAACUCUGUGCCAGCCGCCGCGGUAAGAC